rnacentral:rRNA from 1 species
GGCUCAGGAUGAAGCUAGCUACAGGCUUAACACAUGCAAGUCGNGGGGAAACGACAUUGGAAGCUUGCUUCCGAUAGGCGUCGACCGGCGCACGGGUGAGUAACGCGUAUCCAACCUGCCCACCACUUGGGGAUAACCUUGCGAAAGUAAGACUAAUACCCAAUGAUAUCUCUAGAAGACAUCUGAAAGAGAUUAAAGAUGUAUCGGUGAUGGAUGGGGAUGCGUCUGAUUAGCUUGUUGGCGGGGUAACGGCCCACCAAGGCGACGAUCGGUAGGGGUUCUGAGAGGAAGGUCCCCCACAUUGGAACUGAGACACGGUCCAAACUCCUACGGGAGGCAGCAGUGAGGAAUAUUGGUCAAUGGACGCAAGUCUGAACCAGCCAAGUAGCGUGCAGGAUGACGGCCCUAUGGGUUGUAAACUGCUUUUAUGCGGGGAUAAAGUGUGGGACGUGUCCCAUUUUGUAGGUACCGCAUGAAUAAGGACCGGCUAAUUCCGUG